AGAGCAGGCCAGAUGAUCGUGCCUCGACUCACUUCGUUCGCUCGGCACAAGCCCCUUAGUCUGAGGGGUUUAUACCGAGCGAGGCCGAAGGCCGAGUCGAGGUAAGGAAAGUCCGGACUCCGCAGAGCAGCGUGGUUGCUAACGGCAACUGAGGGCGACCUUAAGGAAAGUGUCACAGAAAUUACACGGCCCACUCUGACCCUAAAGGUCAGAAGGCAAAGGUGAAAUUGGGAGGUAAGAGCUCCCACAGGACUGACCGGUGACGGUCGCUGCGGUAAACCCCACGCGGAGCAAGACCAAAUAGGGAAAUGGGUGGCUCGCCCGCCCUGCCCGCAAUGCUACGCAUAGCGUUGCAGGCGGGUAUAAUCCCGAGUAGGUCGCAUUGAGGCAGUCAGCAAUGGCUGCCCCAGAUAGAUGAUCAUCGAACCCAGCACGGUAUGGUGCUGGGUGAACAGAAUCCGGCUUACCGGCCUGCUCUUUUU
rnacentral:RNase_P_RNA from 2 species